rnacentral:rRNA from 1 species
CUUGGCGGCAAUAGCGCGGUGGUCCCACCUGACCCCAUGCCGAACUCAGAAGUGAAACGCCGUAGCGCCGAUGGUAGUGUGGGGUCUCCCCAUGC